rnacentral:rRNA from 1 species
UCUUACAAUUGCGAUGGGGGGACGGAGAAGGCUAGGUGGGCCUGGCGACGGUUGUCCAGGUUCAAGUGCGUAGGCUUGAGAGUUAGGUAAAUCCGGCUCUUUUUAAGGCUGAGACACGACGUCGAGCACCUACGGGUGUGAAGUCAUUGAUGCCAUGCUUCCAGGAAAAGCCUCUAAGCUUCAGAUUGUAAGGAAUCGUACCCCAAACCGACAC